rnacentral:ncRNA from 1 species
ACAAAGAUUUAAUAGAUACAGUCCCACUAGGUAGCGAUACCUAGAUGGAAUCUCCUUUAAUUGCUGGGAUAUCUCUCUGAGACAAUCAGCAGCGAAGCCUUACAGAAAUGUAAGGAACGUUCAACGACUAACCGCUUAUCACGGUGUACACCCAAGUGGGUGGAAAUGGGGAGCAUCUCACUGAGAUGAAGAUAUAGUCUAGUCUGCAUGGCGACAUGCAG